rnacentral:rRNA from 1 species
CGACUGCUAAGACUGGAUAGAAAACAAAAAAGCAUCUUUUAGUUUUUAAAAGACCUUCUUACGAAGGUAUGCUUAAAGAGGGGCUUGCGCCACAUUAGUUAGUUGGUAGAGUAAAAGCCUACCAAGACGAUGAUGUGUAGCUGGACUGAGAGGUUGAACAGCCACAUUGGGACUGAGACACGGCCCAAACUCCUACGGGAGGCAGCAGUAGGGAAUUUUCGGCAAUGGAGGAAACUCUGACCGAGCAACGCCGCGUGAACGAUGAAGUAUUUCGGUAUGUAAGUUUCUUUUAUUGAAGAAGAGAAAGUAAUGCAAAAACGAUAUUGCCGUUAUUCGAUGAAUAAGCCCCGGCUAACUUUGUGCCAGCAGCCGCGGUAAGACAUAGGGGGCGAGCGUUAUCCGGAAUUAUUGGGCGUAAAGGGUGCGUAGGCUGUUAGAUAAGUCUAUAAUUUAAUUUCAGUGCUUAACGCUGUCUUGUUAUAGAAACUGUCUUGACUAGAGUGAGAUAGAGGCAAGCGGAAUUCCAUGUGUAGCGGUAAAAUGUGUAAAUAUAUGGAGGAACACCAGAAGCGUAGGCGGCUUGCUGGGUCUUUACUGACGCUGAGGCACGAAAGCGUGGGUAGCAAACAGGAUUAGAUACCAUGGUAGUCCAAGCCGUAAACGAUGAGUACUAAGUGUCGGGGUAAAACUCGGUACUGAAGUUAACACAUUAAGUACUCCGCCUGAGUAGUACGUACGCAAGUAUGAAACUUAAAGGAAUUGACGGGACUCCGCACAAGCGGUGGAUCAUGUUGUUUAAUUCGAAGAUACCCGAAAAAUCUUACCAGGUCUUGACAUACUCUGCAAAGCUAUAGAAACAUAGUGGAGGUUAUCAGGAAUACAGGGGGUGCAUGGUUGUCGUCAGUUCGUGUCGUGAGAUGUUAGGUUAAGUCCUAAAACGAGCGCAACCCUUGUCGUUAAUUGCCAGCACAUAAUGGUGGGGACUUUAACGAGACUGCCAAUUAAACAUUGGAGGAAGGUGAGGAUUACGUCAAAUCAUCAUGCCCCUUAUGAUCUCGGCUACAAACGUGAUACAAUGGCUGUGACAAAGAGUAGCUGAAACGCGAGUUUUUAGCCAAUCUCAAAAAAGCAGUCUCAGUUCGGAUUGAAGUCUGUAACUCGACUUCAUGAAGUUGGAAUCGCUAGUAAUCGCGAAUCAGCAUGUCGCGAUGAGUACGUUCUCGGGGUUUGUACACACCGCCCGUCA